rnacentral:tRNA from 1 species
AGAAAGGUUCCGUUUGUUGGUAUGGCGGGUUGAGCUGUAAACUCAAUGGUAUUUUACCGUCAAAGGUUCAAUUCCUUUCCUUUCUA